rnacentral:lncRNA from 1 species
CCAAGCAUUCAAUAGUUACAGGUGGCUAAUGGCUACCAAAUUAUGGACCGUGAAGAUACAGAACAUUUCCAUCACCACAGAAAGUUCAAUCGGACUGCCGGACUAGAGGGCAAGAGUGGAGAGAAGUUUUACUGGGUCCUGCAGACAGAAGCUUGGGAGCCAGACCCAGGCGCUCACUAGUUUCCUGGUAAAUCUAAAUGCCAGUACCUUCUCUGAAUUUGUGACACCCAGGCCCUAGAGCAUUUCAACUGGAGAGUCAGUGGUGAAAAUCCUCCACAGGGUGGAAUUCUGGGGCAAAUUCUUUGCAGAGGGGUGGAAGGGGAGGCUUCGAAGCUUCCUGAGCAGGCGUUUGGGUCCCACUCAGGCGCUUCCAGCUUCUUGCCCUUAACCCGAGCUCUAGUGGGGCCGAGCUUCCGAGCGUGGGAGCCGGGUCGGGACUCGGGGGGAUGCCCGCUGGCGCCGCCUGCGCCCAGCGUCCUCUCGCCUAUCCUUUAGCACAAGGGCGGGCAGGGCAGGACAAAGGCUCAGGCGGCAGCUGCCCGGAUCGGCGCGCAGGGGCGACCGCGGCCACCCGGAGCGCCCGCCGCCUCCGCUGCCCGGCGGGGGAGGCCGGGCGCCCGCCUUUGUCUGCGCCGCCGCCGAGGGCCGGGUCCGCAGGAAGCGCGCGCCAUCGUGCGACCGGAGCCUGGCACUACACCCCCGGAGGCGCGGCGCGACCUUCGCGCGGCCUGAACCGACAAGCGUGGCGGGAAUCCUCACGGGGACCGCGGUGUCAUCGCGAUGGCGACUGCUUCAACUGCGUUGUUAGCUCUGGAGAAGACAGCAUUUCCACAGCAGAGUCAGGGUUUGGAUGGACAGCAUCCUUGAAAAUUGCUUACCGAUCAAGUCUUCUGCCUUGGCCUCAGUGGAAACCCUCCAUUAGCGUCCAGCACCGACCAGCGAUCAGGCCUGCUCGGCAUCAUUCUAAAUUAUGGCCCAUGCAGUCUGCGUGGGAGAAAACACAGUGUGCCCACAGGUGUACCAGAGGAUAGCCCAAACCAGUAUAAAAAGAGAGAACGAGUACAAUAAUGGGAAGGCUCCUACAGCUACUUAACACAGACCUCAUCCACCUGAGUCAGUCUAGCAGCCCCCUAAUUGCCAGUUACUGGUCUGCGAGGAGAUGAGGAGUUUGAACCAAACUGUAAAGACACUGUGUCGCUAAGUGGUUUGUUCACAGCAAGACUUUCUCAGUGAAGGAAGCAGCGCAUUUUACAUUCUGCUGCAAACAGUUUGUGGAUUGGCGUGUUAGGUCAGGACCAAUCUGUCCGUUAGUCACAGCAGGCACACUGCCUCAG